GUAUACAUGUGUGUCCCUCCCGAAGCUGCGCGCUCAGUUGAAGAGGACGACCAUCCCCGGUAGAGGAGGACUGUUCUUCGGUCAAGGGUACAGAGUAGCUGCGCUCCCCUGCUAGAACCUCCAAACAAGCUCUCAAGAGCUUAUCCUAAAUGCAGCCAGAGGGAAAAGAGAGAUCACCUUCAGAGGAAGCGGCAAGUAGAUGACUGAUUUAU
rnacentral:snRNA from 1 species